GUGGGACACAUGACCAGGCUCAUUUGCAUAUGGACAGACAGGUGUGCGUGGGAGAGAAUAGUUUCAGCUAUGCAGCUAGUAGUACGCCGAUACCUGAACUCUGGAUUAUGAGUUUAGUCGGUGAAUCUGAGCAUCUUGCCUUGAACCAGGAGUCACCACAGGUCAACGUCGUUCGACCAGCUCACUUGGACGUUUAAUACCCGUCAGCAGCUGCAACGGCAGGCUCACCUGAGCUGAGAAGGCACCGGUUAAACAGGUGGAACAGGACGUGCUGCAUUCCGCCAGUGCAGAGACACACAUCCUCCUAUGGCAAUAUAAAACUCGGGUGCCCCACUGUCGUUUGUAUCUAACUGAUGCUAUGUUGGCCCAGAUGUAAGAACACAGGCCACACAGACCUGAUCGAUACUCUAAAUUCCUCAGGGAGGUG